rnacentral:rRNA from 1 species
UACAGAGGUCUCAAGCGUUGUUCGGAUUUAUUGGGCGUAAAGGGCGCGUAGGCGGCGGGGUAAGUCGGGUGUGAAAUCUCAGGGCUCAACCCUGAAACUGCACUUGAUACUGCUCUGCUUGAGGACUGGAGAGGAGACUGGAAUUCACGGUGUAGCAGUGAAAUGCGUAGAUAUCGUGAGGAAGACCAGUGGCGAAGGCGGGUCUCUGGACAGUUCCUGACACUGAGACACGAAGGCCAGGGGAGCAAACGGG